UACAGAGGGUGCAAGCGUUGCUCGGAAUUAUUGGGCGUAAAGGGUAGGUAGGUGGUCUCAUUUGUCGGGGGUGAAAGCCUUGGGCUUAACCCAAGAAGUGCCUUCGAAACGGUGAGACUAGAGUCCUGGAGAGGGUCGUGGAAUUCCCGGUGUAGCGGUGAAAUGCGUAGAGAUCGGGAGGAACACCAGAGGCGAAGGCGGCGACCUGGACAGGUACUGACACUCAACUACGAAAGCGUGGGGAGCAAACAGG
rnacentral:rRNA from 1 species